GUUGUAAUCUAUAGAAGUGUUUUCCGUGCUGGCUCAUGUACAAGUCCCUUGGAACAGGGCGUCAUAGAGGGUGAGAAUCCCGUCCUUGACAUGAACUACCAGUGCUCUGUGAUACAUUUUCAACGAGUCGAGUUGUUUGGGAAUGCAGCUCAAAAUGGGUGGUAAAUUCCAUCUAAAGCUAAAUAUUGGCGAGAGACCGAUAGCGAACAAGUACCGUGAGGGAAAGAUGAAAAGCACUUUGGAAAGAGAGUUAAACAGUAUGUGAAAUUGUUGAAAGGGAAACGAUUGAAGUCAGUCGUGCUCUUUGGAUUCAGCCGGUUCUGCCGGUGUACUUCCUUUGAGUGGGGUCAACAUCAGUUUUGAUCGCUGGAUAAAGGCUGGAGGAACGUAGUACCCUCGGGUAAACUUAUAGCCUCCUGUCACAUACAGUGGUUGGGACUGAGGAACGCAGCACGCCUUUAUGGCCGGGAUUCGUCCACGUACGUGCUUAGGAUGUUGACAUAAUGGCUUUAAACGACCCGUCUUGAAACA
rnacentral:rRNA from 1 species